rnacentral:rRNA from 1 species
GGACGAACGCUGGCGGCGUGCUUAACACAUGCAAGUUGUACGACGGUCUUUUGAAGUAGUAAUACGGAGGAAGAUACGUAGUAGCGGACGGGUGAGUACAACACGAGAAGCUAUCCUCUAAGGGGGGACAACGUUUGGAAACGAACGCUAAUACCCCAUAGGCCGAGAGGUUAAAGCAGCAAUGCGAUAGAGGGGGUGCUCGUGCCCUAUCAGCUAGUUGGUGAGGUAACGGCUCACCAAGGCGAUGACGGGUAGCCGGCCUGAGAGGGUGUCCGGCCACACUGGAACUGAGAUACGGUCCAGACUCCUACGGGAGGCAGCAGUGGGGAAUAUUGGGCAAUGGGAGAAAUCCUGACCCAGCAACGCCGCGUGAACGAAGAAGGCCCUUGGGUCGUAAAGUUCUUUUGCGCGGGAAGAAGAAAUGACGGUACCGCGCGAAUAAGCCCCGGCUAACUACGUGCCAGCAGCCGCGGUAAUACGUAGGGGGCGAGCGUUGUCCGGAAUUACUGGGCGUAAAGGGCAUGUAGGCUGUGCCGUAAGUCGGCUGUUAAAAGAUGCGGCUUAACCGUGUUGUGCAGUUGAAACUGCGGUGCUAGAGUAUCGAAGAGGCAAGUGGAAUUCCCAGUGUAGCGGUGAAAUGCGUAGAUAUUGGGAAGAACAUCGGUGGCGAAGGCGACUUGCUGGUCGGUAACUGAUGCUAUUGUGCGAAAGCCAGGGGAGCAAACGGGAUUAGAUACCCCGGUAGUCUUGGCUGUAAACGAUGAAUGCUGGGUGUGCGAGUAGAGAUAUAGGCGUGCCGUAGCUAACGCGAUAAGUAUUCCGCAUGGGGAGUACGGUCGCAAGAUUGACACUCAAAGGAAUUGACGGGGGCCCGCACAAGCGGUGGAGCACGUGGUUUAAUUUGAUGCAAA